GGGCGUUUAGCUCAGUUGGUAGAGCGCCAGCCUUACAAGCUGGAUGUCAGAAGUUCAAGUCUUCUAACGCCCACCA
rnacentral:tRNA from 1 species